GAUGAACGCUGGCGGCGUGCCUAAUACAUGCAAGUCGAGCGAACAGAUAAGGAGCUUGCUCCUUUGACGUUAGCGGCGGACGGGUGAGUAACACGUGGGUAACCUACCUAUAAGACUGGAAUAACUCCGGGAAACCGGGGCUAAUGCCGGAUAAUAUUUAGAACCGCAUGGUUCUAAAGUGAAAGAUGGUUUUGCUAUCACUUAUAGAUGGACCCGCGCCGUAUUAGCUAGUUGGUGGGGUAAUGGCUUACCAAGGCAACGAUACGUAGCCGACCUGAGAGGGUGAUCGGCCACACUGGAACUGAGACACGGUCCAGACUCCUACGGGAGGCAGCAGUAGGGAAUCUUCCGCAAUGGGCGAAAGCCUGACGGAGCAACGCCGCGUGAGUGAUGAAGGUCUUCGGAUCGUAAAACUCUGUUAUUAGGGAAGAACAAAUGUGUAAGUAACUGUGCACGUCUUGACGGUACCUAAUCAGAAAGCCACGGCUAACUACGUGCCGGCAGCCGCGG
rnacentral:rRNA from 1 species